rnacentral:misc_RNA from 1 species
UGUUGCCUGGCUUGGAGACUCCCAGG